GUGCCGUCGGGGGUGACCCUGGCGACCUUCCACGCCGCCAAGGGGCUCGAGUGGGACUCGGUCUUCCUGGUCGGCCUCCAGGACGGCACG
rnacentral:tRNA from 1 species